GCUGUUAGUUGAUGAAGUUAAGUUGUGUUGUUGCAUGUAUGUUCACAAUUGCUAAUGUACUGCACACAUUAAUUUUUUUAAUAUUGUAUUGUAAAAGGUUUUUUUUUGUUGGUUGCAAAUGUUGAUCCUUGACUAUAUACUGCACCCCCCUCCCCACCCCCUAAAUUUUGGUAUAACAAUAAGUCUGUAAUAGGAUUAGAAGGUUAAAUUGUGUUUUACUGUGGAAUUUGUUAAAUUGUGUUGUAAAUAAUGGUUUGUUGGCAAGUCUAAUAUAUUUAAAUAAGGAUACUUGAAUGUGGAGGCUUUUAUACAUUGUUCUUGACAAGCCACCGUUAUGCUCUACUAUGUUGAUUGGAAGCAUUUGGAAUUUACUUGCAUUUGUGGGGAAGAACCUAUUAGAGCCGAUAAAUAAAUCAUGUUCUAUUACUUGUAUCAUGUUUGUCAUAGUAAUACAGCAGGGAAACCAACUGCUUAAAACAAAUAUGUACCCACUGAAUUUGUCAGUACAUGUCCUUGAUAUGUAACCUUGCUCUCUGGUUUUAGGUAACAGUUUUCCCCGGUAAGGGGGAUGUCCUGGUGCUUUAGAGCAUUUUUUUUAUUCAAAUGUUGUGUUUGGUCCAAUUUCAAUGGAAGUAGGGAGAAGGGAAUGAAAUAUGAGAUACAUUCUUGAUUUUUUUUUUNCCUCUCUCUCUCUCCUGAACUGAUAAUGUUUGUGCUUGGCAGGCUCUAUGUGCGAGGAACAAUCUUGGGCUACAAGAGAUCGAAAUCAAACCAGUACCCCAACACAUCUUUAGUUCAGAUUGAAGGAGUGAACACAAAGGAAGAGGUCUCAUGGUACCAAGGCAAGCGCGUGGCUUACAUUUACAAGGCCAAAGUUAAGGUUAAGGGGUCCCAUUAUCGUUGCAUUUGGGGCAAGGUCAUUAGGCCUCAUGGUAACACCGGUAUUGUUCGUGCUAAGUUCACCUCCAAUCUCCCACCCAAAUCCAUGGUAAUGUAUAGAUACAAGCUGCUUGUAUGCAUAAGCUGUUGAAAUGUGAAUAAGUAUUGAUUUUUUGUUGUUGGUGUUGUUUCGGUGUAGGGAUCGAGGGUGAGGGUCAUGAUGUUCCCGAGCAAUAUAUGAGGUACUACUCAGCUCAUUGUGUUUCGUAAUCUUGAAUGGUUGUUUGAAUUUAUUUGAUUUAAUUGGCUGUUAGUUGAUGAAGUUAAGUUGUGUUGUUGCAUGUAUGUUCACAAUUGCUAAUGUACUGCACACAUUAAUUUUUUUAAUAUUGUAUUGUAAAAGGUUUUUUUUUGUUGGUUGCAAAUGUUGAUCCUUGACUAUAUACUGCACCCCCCUCCCCACCCCCUAAAUUUUGGUAUAACAAUAAGUCUGUAAUAGGAUUAGAAGGUUAAAUUGUGUUUUACUGUGGAAUUUGUUAAAUUGUGUUGUAAAUAAUGGUUUGUUGGCAAGUCUAAUAUAUUUAAAUAAGGAUACUUGAAUGUGGAGGCUUUUAUACAUUGUUCUUGACAAGCCACCGUUAUGCUCUACUAUGUUGAUUGGAAGCAUUUGGAAUUUACUUGCAUUUGUGGGGAAGAACCUAUUAGAGCCGAUAAAUAAAUCAUGUUCUAUUACUUGUAUCAUGUUUGUCAUAGUAAUACAGCAGGGAAACCAACUGCUUAAAACAAAUAUGUACCCACUGAAUUUGUCAGUACAUGUCCUUGAUAUGUAACCUUGCUCUCUGGUUUUAGGUAACAGUUUUCCCCGGUAAGGGGGAUGUCCUGGUGCUUUAGAGCAUUUUUUUUAUUCAAAUGUUGUGUUUGGUCCAAUUUCAAUGGAAGUAGGGAGAAGGGAAUGAAAUAUGAGAUACAUUCUUGAUUUUUUUUUUCCUUCCUCCCUUUCAUUCCUAGCAAAUUGAAUUAGAGCUUAAACUUACUGAAUUAAGGAGAAAAGCUCCGAUUUCUAUAUUACUCACUUUUUUCAUACAUCAACUUAAUAAAAUUGACCUCGUUAAGUCGUUAUAUUUACUCUUCCUUCAUACCUCAAUUUUUUCUCUUAUAGUUUUGUUCACAAUUCCCAUCUCAUUCCAUUUCAAUUUAUCUCCCUGAACUAACAGAGCAUUAAUGUUUCA
rnacentral:lncRNA from 1 species